rnacentral:tRNA from 7 species
ACUUGUCUAGCUCAGUUGGUAAAAUAUAAGACUCUUAACCCUGAGGUUGUGGGUUCGAGCCCCAUGGUUGGCG